rnacentral:rRNA from 1 species
GACGAACGCUGGCGGCGUGCCUAAUACAUGCAAGUCGAACGAGAGCGACCGGUGCUUGCACUGGUCAAUCUAGCGGCGAACGGGUGAGUAACACGUGGGUAACCUGCCCAUCAGAGGGGGAUAACAUCCGGAAACGGAUGCUAAAACCGCAUAGGUCUUCGAACCGCAUGGUUUGAAGAGGAAAAGAGGCGCAAGCUUCUGCUGAUGGAUGUACCCGCGGUGCAUUAGCUAGUUGGUGAGGUAACGGCUCACCAAGGCCGUGAUGCAUAGCCGACCUGAGAGGGUGAUCGGCCACACUGGAACUGAGACACGGCCCAGACUCCUACGGGAGGCAGCAGUAGGGAAUAUUCCGCAAUGGACGAAAGUCUGACGGAGCAACGCCGCGUGAGUGAAGAAGGUCUUCGGAUCGUAAAACUCUGUUGUUAGGGAAGAACAAGUGCUAGAGUAACUGUUAGCGCCUUGACGGUAUCUAAACAGAAAGCCACGGCUAACUACGUG